UCGAGGCGAACGAUUAUGUGAACCUGGCAAUAAGGGGAAUGAAAAGCAUGUGGGUAACGUGGGAUGACGUGGCCGGUCGUGGGUAUCUGCGGGAAGAAGAGUGUACGGCAUCGCUGCAGUGUGCAACUUGGCGAACUUGGCUGAGCUUCAGGACUGAGUUUCGGAAAAGGCUGCGACAUGGCUGCCGCAGGAUCGUCGAUGGUCGGUAAUGGCUUAGUCAUAUAAUAAAUAUGACAUUGAUUUUGAAGUGGCUCGGUGACCACGAUGAGAAGUCGUUCGGACCAGGUACUGAUUCGAGGUGGAAUUAAAAGCAAGAAAACCGGAGCUGAUAACUUGAGGCCGGGGGUCAUAUAUGAUACGUAACGCAAACGUAACUGGAAGACGAGAGCAGUGUCCACUACACGAGUUUUGAGAUGAUAUCAGAGCCUCAUUGAACGCGGAAGAGAUCUUCUCAUAGCGGACUAAACUUCUCGAUAUUUUAGCGGAUACCUCGUGUGCGUCAAUCUCACGAUGUUUUGGAAGGUUUCCUGAAAUCUCUGAUAGUCCAAUUAGUAGUUAGAGUUUCUACGCAUCUAAUCUCGAAUGGAAGGUUUCAGGAUCCGGAAUCUCAGAGAAAGAAGGCUUGGAUUCUGGUUGGAUUUUUUCGGGCAAGAAUUCGUGGAAUUUGAAGAAUGCUUGUCUAGACAUUAAGAUACCUCUAUCGCUGCGAAGGAUAUCGUUUUCUGAGUUCCUGGGGGUCCGAUUAGUCAGAAAAUGGUCGUACAAAUCGAAUCUGAGACUACAAAUUUUUGGCUCCGAAAAUUAAAAAAAAAUGUUCAAUAUCUCGCGCACGGGGCAACCCGCAUACUUGUCCGCAUUAUUCUCGCUUCGUGCACCUGCAGCUUCCACCUCCAUGUUGCGAAAUCCGGGUGAACUUGUGCUGCCCCUUCCGCAUUCUGAGCUGUAUCAGCAUCUCUGCCGGACGGAGGAGACCCGCUCUUGAUGGCGGCUCGUCAUCUAGUCUUCUCCACCUCCUGUUUCCCACGUUUCUAUGUUUCUAUGUUGCUGCUUUCUUAGCUUUAUUCUGCUUUCUUGUCAUUUCUUUUCUUUUUCGCUUUUUUUCUGACAUUGUCUUCGCCGUCUUUCUCUGUUCUAUUCUCCGUUCUAAUUUUUAUCGCUAGAUCUUAAAUAGUAAUAUAGAACUAGGCUAAGGUUUUGGAAUUAAGGCUCUGUUUCUUUUUAAUUUUGCAAUAAUGUUUUCCAAUAUUGUUAUGGAAAAGAUGAAAAAUAAACCAUUAAACCAUUAAACCCCUU